rnacentral:rRNA from 1 species
CACGUAGGGCCAAGCGUUGUCCGGAUUUAUUGGGCGUUAAAGAGCUCGUAGGCGGUUCGACAAGUCGGGUGUGAAACUCCGGGCUCAACCCGGAGACGCCACCCGAUACUGUCGUGACUGGAGUCCGGUAGGGGAGUGGGGAAUUCCUGGUGUAGCGGUGAAAUGCGCAGAUAGUCAGGAGGAACACCGGUGGCGAAGGCGCCGACUCUGGGCCGGUACUGACGCUGAGGAGCGAAGACGUGGUAGCAACAGG